UCAUUUCUUCGGGGCAGGGUGAAAAUCCCGACCGACGGUAACAGCAGCGAUGUUGAAGUCCGUGACCCGCGUUAAGCGGUUGAUGCAGUGUGAAUCUGCAACCGACAGUUAUAGUCUGGAUGGGAGAAGAAAUAA
rnacentral:ncRNA from 2 species